rnacentral:rRNA from 1 species
UACGUAGGUGGCAAGCGUUGUCCGGAUUUACUGGGCGUAAAGAGCGCGCAGGCGGUCGACCAAGUCGCGUGUGAAAGCCCCCGGCUCAACUGGGGAGGGUCACGCGAUACUGAUCGACUCGAAGGCAGGAGAGGGUAGUGGAAUUCCCGGUGUAGUGGUGAAAUGCGUAGAUAUCGGGAGGAACACCAGUGGCGAAGGCGACUUCCUGGCCUGUUCUUGACGCUGAGGCGCGAAAGCUAGGGGAGCAAACGGG